UCACUUGACUAAGCAUGUGUUGCCUCUUUCGCUUGUUUGCGAGAGAAAAUUUAAAGGUAAAAAGCCCAGUUAACUUUUCCUUCUUAAGACAUUGAUUUCGAGCCUGUAUUUUAGCCCUUAAUGCCUUCGCGUUUUUUACCAUGAUGGUAAUGUAUCGCUCCUAAUUAAGGGCUAGAUAAAUCAGACUGUGGAAAGUGGGCUUCCAAUGACGAUGUCCGUGUCCUAAUGGCCUGACAAUUUGUAUGGCAAAUGUGAAUUGAUGUUAAAUGAAGUAGUACAAUUUGGUAAUUACUUUGCUAUCUUAACAUUUUCGUUCUAAUCAGGGUAGACAUUUUCUUUUUAUCAGGUUGUAUGCCAUGUGUACUCCAAAGGAACUAUAAGGUGAUAAGUGGAGAAUUAGAAAGAGGAUGAGCUGAUUAACUGUUGAACUGUCAUUGUACAACAGGUGCUUUAUCCUUGCCAUGGGAAAGUGAAGUCUGCGUAACCUGCACAGGUGGUUCAUUCUUGCUAUGGCUAAAUGGAGCCAGUGUAACAUGCAAAGGCCUAGACGCUAUGGCUGGGAGGGAAAGUGCCACUGACUACAAAAUUAUCUAGACUGUAUGGCUGAGAGGGAAAGUGCCACUCGCUACAUAAUUUUGCACAAUCUUAAGUCUGUCAAGGCAUGCAGAAUACAGUGGACACAAUUUGAAGCAUGUAGUGUCAGGCAAGGCAGUGUACAAAAUCCUAAGCGUGUAGUGUCGAUGCAAGCAGUAUAGAUUGGCCACAAUUCUAAGAUUUUUCAAGUGUGGAAAUGCACCGGAUGCAGUGAUUAAUAGUCCUGACACCUAGACAGAGACCUAUGUUUGCUGGAAUAUGGCUGGCGUUAGAUGGAACAAUUGUUUGAAUCUAGACUGUAUGGAUGGGAGGGAAAGUGCCACUGACUUCAAAAUUAUCUAGACUGUAUGGCUGGGAGGGAAAGUGCCACCGACUACAAAAUUAUCUAGACUGUAUGGCUGGGAGGGAAAGUGCCACUCACUACAUAAUUUUGCACAAUCUUAAGUCUGUCAAGGCAUGCAGAAUACAGUGGACAUAAUUUGAAGCAUGUAGUGUCGGGCAAGGCACUGUACGAAAUCGUAAGGGUGUCAGGCAAGGCAGUGUACAAAAUCCUAAGCAUGUAGUGUCAAGGCAAGCAAGUAUACAUUGGCCACAAUUCUAAGAUUUUUCAAGUGUGGAAAUGCACCGGAUGCAGUGAUUACUAGUUACAGCGUGUAGUGUCAAGGCAAGCAGUAUACAUUGGCCACAAUUCUAAGAUUUUUCAAGUGUGGAAAUGCACCGGAUGCAGUGAUUACUAGGUAUAGUAUUUAAUUUUUACUCUUAGAGAAAAAUGUUAAACUACCUAGUAAAUUGCAUAUAAAUUUAGAUUGCUAGUUUACGGUUGUGAUGUGAACCAAAAUAGGGCAGGCUUACUAUCCUGUUGUUCCUUAAAAUUUGGUUAGUUAAAUGUUCAUAUAGUCAAAACACGUUUUUUGAUGAUACCAUCGAGCCGAAUCGAAUGAUCUUGGCAUGAUUCUUUAGAACUGCCUUGGUGAUAUACUUUAGAGCCAAUGUGAAUGAUACUGAUUCCUCAAUGAUAAACUGAAUAAUGAUGAAAUAAUUCUACAUUUUUGGUGUGGUACCAGGUGUUAAUGGUAAGCUUUUCUCAUUGCAGAUGUAACAAUGGUUUGAGUAAGUAUGAUUUAAUACAUCUUGGUAAGUAUUGUGAAUUAUAAAGUUAUAAAAAUGCAAAUAUUGUGAAAUAUAAAUUGUUAUAAACAUGUUAUGUAGUUAACUAAGCAAAGUAUUGUGGAAAGUAAAUUGACUAGUCAGAUCUGACUUGUCAGUGCCUUUACUAAUAAAUUGUUGUGCUAC